rnacentral:rRNA from 1 species
UACGUAGGUGGCGAGCGUUGUCCGGAUUUACUGGGUGUAAAGGGUGCGUAGGCGGGGUAGUAAGUCAGAUGUGAAAUACCGAGGCUUAACUUCGGGGCUGCAUUUGAAACUAUUAUUCUUGAGUGUCGGAGAGGAAAGCGGAAUUCCUAGUGUAGCGGUGAAAUGCGUAGAUAUUAGGAGGAACACCAGUGGCGAAGGCGGCUUUCUGGACGAUAACUGACGCUGAGGCACGAAAGCGUGGGGAGCAAACAGG